rnacentral:rRNA from 1 species
AAAGGAAUUGACGGGGGCCCGCACAAGCAGAGGAGCAUGUGGCUUAAUUCGAUGCAACGCGAAGAACCUUACCCGGGUUUGACAUGCAGCUGCGCGGCCUGCGAAAGCAGGCCUCCUUCGAGGGAGCUGCACAGGUGCUGCAUGGCUGUCGUCAGUUCGUGCCGUGAGGUGUUUGGUUAAGUCCAGCAACGAACGCAACCCCUGUGUCCAGUUGCCACCGGGUCGAGCCGGGCACUCUGGACAGACCGCCCGUUCACGCGGGAGGAAGGUGGGGACGACGUCAAGUCAGUAUGGCCCUUACGCCCGGGGCUGCACACGUGCUACAAUGGCCGGCACAAAGGGAAGCCAAGCCGCGAGGCCCAGCCAACCCCCAAAACCGGCCCCAGUUCGGAUCGGGGUCUGCAACCCGACCCCGUGAAGCCGGAUUUGCUAGUAACGGCGCAUCAGCCACGGCGCCGUGAAUACGUUCCCGGGCCUUGUACACACCGCCCGU